rnacentral:lncRNA from 1 species
GAUGAAUUACGGGCGCUUAAUCUUUCUAGUAUUUAUUAAAAGAAAUAGGACAAAGAUGCCCUUAGAGCAUAGAUACGAUAUACAUCUGCAGCAAGUCGACAGUCCUAAUUCGUACAAAUCUUGAUGCAUGAAUUCCACAAACAGUGUAUUUAUCGCUGAUGUACCUAAUUCAUUAGAAUUACUUCAGCAAAUACAUGGUCGAAUGGUUCCGUCGUGCAGAAUCUAACCACGUACAUAGCAGUCUGGCGUUGGCUCUAGUGUCGACGCCCUUCCUCAAGGACGACGAGGUCACACCGGACGGUGAAACAAUCGUAGCUGAGAUGCUUGGAAUUUUCGAAUUUAUCCUUGGCAAUGUACCAGGGAAAACCCAUACCGUGCCUGGUAGGCACAUGAUCUAUCGGACCUGAACGAACAUACCUCGAAUCUGGGUUAUCAUCCUN